UUUCCGUAGGUGAACCUGCGGAAGGAUCAUUAAUAAAAAAAUAAAAUCCACCUUAGGAAAAACCCAGAGAAGAAAUUCAAAGGGUUUUUCCUUAAGCAAACAGUGAACUUUGUUAAAGUUUCUAACAAGAUAUACCAAUCUAAAUUUAUUUAGAAAGGUAUCUUCUUUUUAAAAACAAACUUGUUUAAUUUAUUUUGUCUUAUCCUUCUUUAAACUAAAUUGGUUUCAGGACCUUUUUGGAAAGAAUAUUUAAAUCAAAAGUAACAACUUUUAACAACGGAUAUCUUGGCUCUU
rnacentral:misc_RNA from 1 species